CAAUAGUCAUGAUGGUCAAAGCUCAUGGGAGUUGUGCGUUUUUUUGCGUACAGUUUUCUGGAGUUU
rnacentral:sRNA from 1 species